AUCGAACGCUGGCGGCAUGCCUUACACAUGCAAGUCGAACGGCAGCACGGGAGCAAUCCUGGUGGCGAGUGGCGAACGGGUGAGUAAAGUAUCGGAACGUGCCCAGUCGUGGGGGAUAACGUAGCGAAAGUUACGCUAAUACCGCAUACGAUCUAUGGAUGAAAGCGGGGGAUCGCAAGACCUCGCGCGAUUGGAGCGGCCGAUAUCAGAUUAGGUAGUUGGUGGGGUAAAGGCUCACCAAGCCGACGAUCUGUAGCUGGACUGAGAGGACGACCAGCCACACUGGGACUGAGACACGGCCCAGACUCCUACGGGAGGCAGCAGUGGGGAAUUUUGGACAAUGGGCGAAAGCCUGAUCCAGCCAUGCCGCGUGCAGGAUGAAGGCCUUCGGGUUGUAAACUGCUUUUGUACGGAACGAAAAGGUUUGGCCUAAUAAGCUGAGCUCAUGACGGUACCGUAAGAAUAAGCACCGGCUAACUACGUGCCAGCCGCCGCAGUAA
rnacentral:rRNA from 1 species